rnacentral:rRNA from 1 species
UACGAAGGGGGCUAGCGUUGCUCGGAAUCACUGGGCGUAAAGGGUGCGUAGGCGGGUCUUUAAGUCAGGGGUGAAAUCCUGGAGCUCAACUCCAGAACUGCCUUUGAUACUGAGGAUCUUGAGUUCGGGAGAGGUGAGUGGAACUGCGAGUGUAGAGGUGAAAUUCGUAGAUAUUCGCAAGAACACCGGUGGCGAAGGCGGCUCACUGGCCCGAUACUGACGCUGAGGCACGAAAGCGUGGGGAGCGAACAGG